GUUCAAGAAGACCAUUCUUCUGAGGAACCAGAGCAGAGCUCAAGAAGUCUGGGUAGUCAGUUGAUGACUGGUUUGGUGGCUCCACAAUCAUCCGGGACCCAGGAUCCUGGUUUUGGUCCUCUGCCAUCAUCAUCAGAUUGUCACCUUUUUAAAGACGUGGAUCACUCCUGUGGGACCAUUCCUGGGUGCAGAUGAAGCCAGAG